AACAGGAUUAGAUACCCUGGUAGUCCACGCCCUAAACGAUGCCAACUAGGUGUUGGGAAGAGACCUUAGUACCGUAGCUAACGCGUGAAGUUGGCCGCCUGGGGAGUACGGCCGCAAGGUUAAAACUCAAAGGAAUUGACGGGGACCCGCACAAGCGGUGGAUGAUGUGGAUUAAUUCGAUGCAACGCGAAAAACCUUACCUACCCUUGACAUGUCCGGAAUCCUGAAGAGAUUUGUGAGUGCCCGAAAGGGAGCCGGAACACAGGUGCUGCAUGGCUGUCGUCAGCUCGUGUCGUGAGAUGUUGGGUUAAGUCCCGCAACGAGCGCAACCCUUGUCGUUAAUUGCCAUCAUUUAGUUGGGCACUUUAACGAGACUGCCGGUGACAAACCGGAGGAAGGUGGGGAUGACGU
rnacentral:rRNA from 1 species